ensembl:lncRNA
UUUACCUCAGAAUUUCUUCAGAAAAUAUUUUAUUACCUGAAUUUGAUACAGACACAGGAGAUCUGUUUAUGUUGUGGUUAUACAACAUAAAUACAAAGUCUAUGUAUUUAACAUACACACCACUAUGUAGCUCUCGGUGAAUAAAAAUCAUCGAGCAGCUGACUGUGAACUGUAUAUAAAUAAAUGCAAAGCUCAAUAAAACAGAAAUUAUCUUGUGACUGGCCUGACUGCACAGGUGGUGCCAGCCUUUGCCAGGGGCCUGCAGUUGGGAACACGUAUUUCUUUCCAAGCGGUUUCAAAAGUAGGUCAUUGGGCAGUAGUACAAAGCAACCUACUUUCAGAAGAGAAGCAUCUGGGGGUCGAAGAAAUGUUUCCAACGAAUCUGUAACAUUCUAGAAUGCAAGCUGUGUCUGCGUUUUAUGUACACUAAUGUCUUAGCAACAACAUAUCAUUUCUAAGUGAGCAAUGUCAAAUGAAGCAAUCUGUUUAUCUUUAGUUACAAGGGUUUAAGUAGGGACAGCCGGCUGGUCAGGCAACCUGAGUAUGUGCAGCCAGCUCAGUACUGUUCCUUUGUUCAGAUAUAAAUAGGGCUACUUGCCACAGGGAAAAAACCCCACAAUGUAUAUUCUUAUAAUAGUACUCUUACCUACCUCAGGCCUCUCUCACUGUGUAUGACACCAGAUAAUUAUAUUUAUCUAUUUACAGUUGUGGAGAUAAAUAUUUUCUUCCCGAACCUGUAUCACAGCAAUAAAGCCUGAUCUUUGCUGAAGUUCCAGCUGCAAGACAAACAGAACUGUGGCAUGUUACUGCUUGUCCUUGUACUGCCAAGCUCAAGGGCUACAAAAAUAGUGAGUCACAAGCCAAAGUACUGUGAGAUUGAGUAUAAUAUUAUGAGAUUACCAAAAAAAGACAACUCUCCGAGGUUUGGUUUUUAAGCCUUAUGCUAAAAAUACCUUAAAUAAACAAAGUUUUUAAUAAGCUACCAACUUCAGGAGCUGAAAGCUUAAGAAAAACAAACAUAUCCAGAUUUGUAGUAAAAAGGGGAGAAUCAGCAAUACUCCUCUGUUACCUUGUUUGUUUAAAGGCUAUUUUGACUUUGCAGGACACAUGGGAUACAGCUUUAAGAUCUGCGCUGCCCCAAUAAAUAGGCUUGGGCACGUCUUUCUCUGUAGGUUUAACUGACCCCAAGGAACAUGUGGCAAUUCUCUAUGCUGCUGAUAUAAGGAGACUUCUAAAGGGCAUUUUAUGAAGAUGCCAUCCCAGGUUUGUGUCUGCAUGUUACGCCAGUGAAAGCAACAAUCAAUAACUAGGUCUAUUCUAAAAAUUACUUGUCUGCAUCUUUUUUUUCCAGUCUGCCUCCUGCCUGCGAGUCUUUUGGAUCUGAUCCAAGCUGCACUGCAGUGAAGGAGCUCUCUUUGUUCACGUUCCCUCUGCUGCAUCUGAGCCCAUUGAGCAAGUGGUUUCUGGGGUGAGGAUUUUCAGCAGGAUAGCAAAGAAGCACCUUGAAAAAAAAAACCAACAGAAAGACAGAAAUAAGUCUUAACCCACUGUUAAUCAUUAUCAGUGUGUUUCAAUAGAACCUCUAUGAUAGUGAAUAAAAACCAAUACUGUCAAGGCCAGUCUGAACAGCCUGCAUCCAGAAGCCCAGAGGUGAUAACCCUGUAUUCUGUUUUCAGAUCCAGCCUAGAUCCCUUGAUGGGGAGGGGAAUGUGCAGAAUUUUUCCUCCUCAACAGGAAAACUAAAAUCCAAGCACUGGCAUUUUUCUCCCUUGCACAAACUAUGUAGUUUUAACUACUUCAGUUCUCUAAAGUGUGGUGUGAGCUAUACACAAUUUCUAGUUCCACGCUUACUAGAUGAAAAGCAUCCAUAGUUACUAGUUCUCUUUAACCCACAAACAUGUAGCUGCUUUCAGUGUUGCCUUUGCAACGAAAAUGCCCUUGCAGACAGAAUCUCAAUGUGGGCUGCAAGCCAGCUCUGCAGAGCUGAGUCAUUGUUAUACAAGCAGGGCUGGGCUGGCACAGAAAAACACCUUUGUACUUUAACAUUAAACCACGUCAGCUGUUGAACUCUGAGUAUCACAAGAUACCUAAAGAAAACAAACCGAUUUACUGGACUUUUCCUCAUCUUUCUGAAAGCUUCCUUCUCCACUUUCUCUCAGAAGCUUAACACAAGCAUUCUUCAUCAAGCUAUUGCCUUCUACUGAAGUUUGGCAAACAUUGCAUCAGAUUUGGAGGUAAUGUACCAGGAAAGCUGGUGACUCUUCAGGCACUGGGUAACACUGGCUGCCCAGGUACACCGACAAUACCAUAUGCAACCACUGAAAUGUAGGGCUUGUAAAUCCAAAUGCCAAUGAAAUUUGUCAUCAGCCAGAGAUCCCCUAUAAAGGUCUUGAACUGGUUAUUUAUGUGAGACCCAGUUUUGAGCUCUAAGAGUCCUCUGUAAUAAAAUGUGAAACAAAUAAAAAAGGAGAAAGAAUUUCUUUACAGCAGCCUUCUGAAACAAAGCUGUGGUUUGUUCUUCCAUUUUUGUCUCCCAGUUCUUUAUCCUGAAAUGUCACAGGAGAAACAGAAUUCAGCUCCUCAAAAUGCUUUCUACAUUUAAAAUAUGCUGAACUAAUUGCAUGGGAGCACAGAGGGAUAGAUUUGCAGCUACGCAAACGGCUGCAACAUCAGGGCCUGCACAUUAGUUUUGCCACUGGAACUGUGUUAUGAGAGCAUACAAGUGCCAGUGUCUCCUGUCUCGCAAAGAGGAGGUAAUUUGUGUGAGCUGAUUGCUAAUGAACUCCUAAAAUACAUUCUGCCUUUCAGUUCAGUGCAGUUUACUGUUUUUAGAAAAGAACUGACCAUGUAGGCUCAAACCUGCAACUGCCAAACCCUGCACUGACAGCAAAUGACUCCAUGAUGCAAACUGCACAGGCUCAGUUUC